AAUUAUGCGUUGGCUCAACAAGC
rnacentral:miRNA from 1 species